AGCGGCGAACGGGUGCGUAACACGUGGGCAAUCUGUCUUAAAGUGGGGGAUAGCUCGGCGAAAGCCGAAUUAAUACCGCAUGUGAUCAGGGAAGACAUCUUUCCGAAAUCAAAGGUGGCGCAAGCUACCGCUUUUUGAGGGGCCCGCGGCCUAUCAGCUUGUUGGUGAGGUAACGGCUCACCAAGGCGUUGACGGGUAGCUGGUCUGAGAGGACGACCAGUCACACUGGGACUGAGACACGGCCCAGACACCUACGGGUGGCAGCAGUCGAGAAUUUUUGACAAUGGGGGAAACCCUGAUCGAGCGACGCCGCGUGGAGGAUGAAGGUCUUCGGGUUGUAAACUCCUGUCAUUUGGGAACAAGGCGUAGGUAUUAACUGUGCCUACGUUGAUAGUACCAGAAGAGGAAGAGACGGCUAACUCUGUGCCAGCAGCCGCGGUAAUACAGAGGUCUCAAGCGUUGUUCGGAUUCAUUGGGCGUAAAGGGUGUGUAGGUGGCGCGCUAAGUCGGGUGUGAAAUUUCGGAGCUUAACUCCGAAACUGCAUUCGA
rnacentral:rRNA from 1 species